rnacentral:rRNA from 1 species
UACGGGGGGUGCAAGCGUUGCUCGGAAUCACUGGGCGUAAAGCGUCCGCAGGCGGACGCGCAGGUCGGGUGUGAAAUCCCGGGGCUCAACCCCGGAACUGCAUUCGAAACCGCGCGUCUCGAGUACGGGAGAGGGUAGCGGAAUUCCUGGUGUAGAGGUGAAAUUCGUAGAUAUCAGGAGGAACACCGGUGGCGAAAGCGGCUACCUGGCCCGAUACUGACGCUCAUGGACGAAAGCGUGGGGAGCAAACAGG